AGGGGGCAUCCCCUUGGGUUCAAAGGAGAGAUCCGGUACCGGCUGGGCAUGCGGCGCAUUAGCUAGUUGGCGGGGCAACGGCCCACCAAGGCGACGAUGCGUAGGGGUUCUGAGAGGAAGGUCCCCCACACUGGAACUGAGACACGGUCCAGACUCCUACGGGAGGCAGCAGUGAGGAAUAUUGGUCAAUGGGCGCAAGCCUGAACCAGCCAAGUCGCGUGAGGGAAGACGGCCCUACGGGUUGUAAACCUCUUUUGCCGGGGAGCAAGCCUGAGCACGUGUGCCCAGGCGGAGAGUACCCGGAGAAAAAGCAUCGGCUAACUCCGUGCCAGCAGCCGCGGUAAUACGGAGGAUGCGAGCGUUAUCCGGAUUUAUUGGGUUUAAAGGGUGCGCAGGCGGGCUGUUAAGCCGGCGGUAAAAAUUCAGGGCUCAACCCUGUCGAGCCGUCGGAACUGGCAGUCUUGAGUGGGCGAGAAGUAUGCGGAAUGCGUGGUGUAGCGGUGAAAUGCAUAGAUAUCACGCAGAACGCCGAUUGCGAAGGCAGCAUACCGGCGCCCAACUGACGCUGAGGCACGAAAGCGUGGGGAUCGAACAGGAUUAGAUACCCUGGUAGUCCACGCAGUAAACGAUGAGCGCUAACUGUCCGGAGCGAGCGAGCUCUGGGU
rnacentral:rRNA from 1 species